rnacentral:rRNA from 1 species
UACGUAGGCGGAAAAUUAAGUCAGUAGUGAAAUCCUGCAGCUUAACUGUAGAACUGUUAUUGAUACUGGUUUUCUUGAAUAUAGUUGAGGUAGGCGGAAUGUGUAAUGUAGCGGUGAAAUGUUUAGAUAUUACACAGAACACCGAUUGCGAAGGCAGCUUACUAAGCUAUGAUUGACGCUGAGGUACGAAAGCGUGGGGAGCGAACAGGAUUAGAUACCCUGGUAGUCC